UAGGGAAUCUUCGGCAAUGGGGGCAACCCUGACCGAGCAACGCCGCGUGAGUGAAGAAGGUUUUCGGAUCGUAAAGCUCUGUUGUAAGAGAAGAACGUGUGUGAGAGUGGAAAGUUCACACAGUGACGGUAACUUACCAGAAAGGGACGGCUAACUACGUGCCAGCAGCCGCGGUAAUACGUAGGUCCCGAGCGUUGUCCGGAUUUAUUGGGCGUAAAGCGAGCGCAGGCGGUUUAAUAAGUCUGAAGUUAAAGGCAGUGGCUUAACCAUUGUUCGCUUUGGAAACUGUUAAACUUGAGUGCAGAAGGGGAGAGUGGAAUUCCAUGUGUAGCGGUGUAAUGCGUAGAUAUAUGGAGGAACACCGGUGGCGAAAGCGGCUCUCUGGUCUGUAACUGACGCUGAGGCUCGAAAGCGUGGGGAGCAAACAGG
rnacentral:rRNA from 1 species